GUGGAAAGUAACGAAUUACAUUUACUCACGUUACUGUAAUUGAGUACUUUUUAUGAGUAACUUGUAAUUUUCAGAGUAGUUUUUGAAAUGCGUAAUUUUUACUUUUACUCAAUUACAUUUUGACCCAAGUAUUUUACUUCGCUACAUUUGAAACCCCCUCACGUUACUGAGUACAACACUGAUAGUUUAAAAAAAAAUUGGGCGGAAAACCACUUUGUCCCCGGGAUUGAACGUCAAUUAAGCGACAUUCCAUUGCGCGCGCUCUAGAUUCCAACGCGUAGGGAUGGCUGUUGCAGGUGAGGUGGUUACAAUGGACGAGGAGGAACAGUCAGAACGGAAAGAAGAGGAAAUACAAAACAAAAACCCUUGGCCCAACUUGGAAGAGCUCUUCGUGUUCAAACGCCAACAGGGGAACAACGUAAUAAUGCAGUGCAAAAUGUGUUUGCCCAGCAAAACGGAGCUUUCAGCCUACAAAACUUCGACGUCUAACUUGCGAAAGCAUGUGGUGGACUUCUUUAUGUGAGGCAUCAACUGGACCAGAUGGCAGAUGCUGAGGUGGAGCAGGGUGCAGGGAGCAGGCAGCAUUCAUCAGACGACGAGGACUACUUUUCAGCAAUGAAGUCCCGCAAGUCAGAGGGUUCUGGGGAAUUGGAGGGGUACCUGGCCUGUGCGUCAGACAGCAUGGACCUGCUCAAUUCCUGGGCCUGAAAUUGUAGAUUGUGGGCUUCCUGGGGACAUGUUAUUGUGAAUAGUACGAUCCUGAAGCCAUUUUAGUUUGAAUAGGCUGAUCCUGAAGCCAUUUUAGUUUGAAUAGUCGGAUCCUGAAGCCAUUUUUAGUUUGAAUAGUCGGAUCCUACAGUAUGUGCAUUUUAUUUUGAUUUGUGAGACUUCGAAUACUGUAAUUCUUUUCUCAUAAUGUUGUUGGCUGGACAAUAGGAUUGAAACUGUUACUGAGCUCAGUCAAGGGUUUCUUUUAAGUGUGGAUGUGCACUUAUUCAACUUCGAGGCAUAUUAAACAACUUGUGCUGAACUUUA